ensembl:lncRNA
ACAGUGGAAGCUGUUCCUGUAGUACCAGCAGCUGCCAGCAGAGGGAGCAGGCACAAUGAGCUCUCUGUUCAGGAGAACCAAGCACAUUACAGCCAAGUCAGCUGCAUCAUAUUUAGAGAAGAACCUGUAACUUCUCAGCUGGGAGUAAUAGACCUUUGAUCUCCAGAAUCUGAGCAUGAAGCUGCUGACUGAAUCCACAUCAAGUUAUGUCAUCGAGAGGGGCACACAACAGAUUCAACCUACAGGAAGUCAGCCAUCUUAACAAUAGUCUCUUGUCUCCCUCGCUGCCCCUCCACACCUGAGCUGAUGCUGCAAAACAAGGCCACGUGGAGCUGACCAAUCAGAAGGGCGCCUUGGCUUC